rnacentral:rRNA from 1 species
UACGUAGGGUGCAAGCGUUAAUCGGAAUUACUGGGCGUAAAGCGUGCGCAGGCGGUUUUGUAAGUCUGUCGUGAAAUCCCCGGGCUCAACCUGGGAAUUGCGAUGGAGACUGCAAGGCUAGAAUCUGGCAGAGGGGGGUAGAAUUCCACGUGUGAGCAGUGAAAUGCGUAGAGAUGUGGAGGAACACCGAUGGCGAAGGCAGCCCCCUGGGUCAAGAUUGACGCUCAUGCACGAAAGCGUGGGAGCAAACAGG